rnacentral:tRNA from 1 species
GCCUCGGUAGCUCAGCCUGGUCAGAGCACAGGUUUCAUAAGCCUGGCGCCGCGAGUUCAAAUCUCGCCCGAGGCA